rnacentral:tRNA from 1 species
AAGAUACUAGUAAAACAGAAAUUACACUGCCUUGUCAAGGCAAAAUUGUGGGUUAAAACCCCACGUACCUUA